GGCUGUAGAAUGCCCAUACCACAGUAGACUGUAGAAUGCCCAUACCACAGUAGGCUGUAGAAUGCCCAUACCACAGUAGGCUGUAGAAUGCCCAUACCACAGUAGGCUGUAGAAUGUCCACACCACAGUAGGCUGUAGAAUGACCACACCACAGUAGGCUGUAGAAUGCCCAUACCACAUUAUUGAUGUUAGUGCAGCCUAAGAAUGGGAGACGCUGGUUUCUCUGUAAGGAUGCAUAUCUGUGUUACUGGCAGCAAUCAAUGCGAUCAUAACUGACAAUUCAAGGCAAUGUAUAGGCUUAUAUGCUUCAAUAAACAAAUGUCCGUUUUUGUCCGUUAUGGUUCCUCAGGCUUAGUCUCCCAUGAAGUGCAGUCCACAAGGCAGAGGUCCCUGUUCUUUUCAGCUCCAGCAGCUUUCCAUCAUGUACAAUUGUGGCCUCCUCUCCUCCGGGAUUUAAAACUGGUUAGCUAAUAUACUGUAAAUGAGGGAUGCCUGGUUGAUCUGGCUUCUGGAGGUCUUGAGUGUCAGUGCAGGAAACCAGGACAGGACACCGCAUUAGACAAUUGAGAUGGCUACCUACUGAUAAACAAACCUAAGUAUCAAGCAGGUAAAAAGCUUAGCUGGACAGUAUGCAUCAUUUCCUAAAUGUGGGGCAUGACCUAAAAUAUAUAUAGAACAACAUUUCGAGAGCUUGGGACUAUAACGUUCUAUCUGCAAAAAGAUGAUUCUGAGAUAAUUGCCGUUAAAGUUCCCGAACCCUCAUUGGUUUGAAAGGUGUCAGCAAUUUUUUAAAAUUGUAUUCUUUCUUUGGAACAAGUAUACCGGUAGAACCUAGUAAUCCCAACCUCUCGACUUGGCUGUGCAUUUACACUUAUUUUUGUCUCGUUUUUCGAACAUCGAGAAGCAAUUAUUCCACUAAUAAGUGAAAGGACUUUAUAAGUUUCCACCAUAUUUCGUUUUGCUCAUUUCCUGCCAAAUCUGAGCAAAGGACAGAAACAAAGGAAGCUGUCGGACUAUUGAGACACAUCGAUUCAUUCAAUUAUACAGUCAGCCUAUGAACCAUUGUAAUAAUGAACCAACCACACCUUACACCUUUAAUAUUGAACCAUGUAAAAAAUAAUGAGCAAACAAACCUACAUUUCAUUGAAUUAUUAUUUUGUGCAUAUUUUUGAGUCUAUAGGCAUAACUGUAACAUUCUUCACGUAUACCUUGGUCUCGCAUGACUGUCUAUAAUCUCUGCUGUAUUUAUGUUUUGGAGCGUACAUCAGAAUGAGAGAAACCCGCAGCGCCAAGCAUAUUGAGCAUGUGAGCUAAAAAUAGCAUAAUCGGACGGCCCCGCGCCGCUCCGUUACCACGCGUUUCAGUAUUCUGCUCCGUUAAAAAAAGAAAAGGGAAACAUCUCGCAAGCUAUAUUAAGACGGUAAUAUAGGCUACCAUUGUUGUCACUGAGGAAUAUAUUUGGAAAGCUAUCUACCAUCAGAGAAAGUGGGCGUUUGUUUUAUGCUUGUGUGUACUCGUGUCCAGUGUCUGUGUGAGUGCGCGUGUUUGUGUAGGCGCGCGUGCGUGAGAAUCUGUUGCGUGGGCUGUAGCUUCCACUAACAUGAAAGGAAGAAGGGGAGACUAAACGAAUAGAGAGAAAGGUAAAGAGAACUGUGGAGAGAGUUGAGUUAGAGAGGAGAGAGUUGAGUUAGAGAGGAGGGGGGGGCAUUUUGAAAUGCUUGGAGACAUGAUUUCGUAUACCGUACAUUUAUAGUCACUGAACAAAGCGACAAUUUUAACCCCAAUAUUGUGUAUUUUACAUUCACUUGCAUGUGGUCAAUUCUGAACCAGCGGUUCAACAGCAAAUUCAACGGCUGUGGCUUUCUAUCAGCAGCCAUGGGCUGCCAAGUGGGAGAAUCUUAACGUGACGUCAAUGCCUAGUAACUGACGCAGAUCUCACGAGGAAAAAUAUAUGCAUUUAUUUAUUUUCUCCCUCUAUAGCGUUAAUUUAGUUUGAUCUGAAAUUCACAUAGAGGAGAAAUUAUUCAACAUUGAAUGAAUUUAGCUGUAUACCAUUCUACUAAGAGAGAGAGAGCGCAUGAAAAGUAAAACAAAAAAAGUGUUGGAUAAAUUAGACUACAUUGGCAAGAAUCUCUGCAUUGUCAUGCAAUGAACGCAAUAAUGCAAUGAACGCAAUAAGGCCGUCGUGUCACGUGCACCACUUUAUUAUAGUGGUUUAAAACGACACGGGAACGCGCAUGUAUCCAGUGUGUGCUGGGCGAAGGGAAAUAUGAACGCGCAUGUUUCAGCCCUACGCUUGAAAUUCCUCGGAGGAACCUCUGUGAGGUUUUCUUUUUUUUUCUCUCAAUGCGAGCUAAAAAUAGCAACGGGGUUGGCUCGUGAUCCAGAAAUAGAUAGGGGGCAUCACUCGUAUAAAAGGCAUACCAUUCAAGAGUACAGUGUGAACACUUAGUGUAGGAAUCAAGAACAGCAGCUGAUCUUGCGCUGUUAUAAAUAUAUUUCUCUGUUUUGUGACACUUGAAAAAUAAUGUUAGUGAAACGCAUUUCCCCUUUCAGCGAGGGGCUCGCGCAUUGGGAGUCAUGCUGAGACCAAGGUGUGUUUUACAGAAGAGCCCUGUCAUUACAGACACAUACACAUCCAUACCAUACAGAACACAGAGAGACUGGUGUUACAUGUGUUUAAUGUUGUAAUAUUUGAUUGCGGUUCAAUUUUAUCUGUCACCUUUUGUACAUGAGUUCCGUAUUUCUCAAAACACAAUUAUGUUGGAUAAUUGUAAGAGUUUGCUGUUUGAAUAAAAUGUUGAUUUAUGAAAUGGG